rnacentral:lncRNA from 1 species
UGCAAAAUGGCAGACCCUUGAAUUAGUUCAGCUGAAUGCUUUCUCUCUGAGAAUGUGCAAACAUGCAGCUAGGUGAUCCUGCCUGCUGAAGGGCAGCACUCAGAUCAGGACUCCAUCAGUAGUCCUGAGGUUGUGUGGACUUUGGGUUAAAGUGUUUCAGAAAUGUCUUUAGCAAGCAUGUAUCCCACUAGGAUAAUAAGUAGUGUCUCUUUAUAUAAGCAGUGUGUGCUUAUCUCAGUGCCUGAAACACAGUGUAGCAUUACUUCCUCCUCCUGUGGUUUCUCAGCUCUCUUCCUUCUUCCUUGUAAGUACUUUAAAGAUUAAAUGUAAUAGAUAACAAGGCACUUCCUAUUUUCUAAACUCCAUAAUGGGGGCAAAUUAGGAGGUGGGAAACAUGUAUUUGGAAACAUUGCAACAAUUUUGUAAGUUAUCAGUGUAUAGACUGGCCAGUUCUAAAACUGAUUAUAAAAUAUAUUUCUGAAUACAUAUCAGGUAUUUUAAGAUCCUAAACUCUCAUCAUUUGUGUUUUUCUUUGCAAAAAACUUACGUUGAGUGAUAAGUGCAGGCACACUGCUACUAGUAUAUUGUACUAAUAUUACAUCAAAAGCUAGGAAUGAAGAAUGGAAUACUUGGAAAUGUCUGUGUUAGAAUUUCAUUCUCUCACAUAUUCGGUCUUGCAUUUUGGCUUCAGAAUUUACUAGACAAAAUGUAGGUACAUAUAUAUGCAAUAAGUUGCAUUCUGUUGCAUAAAUAUGUCUUAAUAUGUAUUCCAAGGAACAUAUAUAUAUAUAUAUAUGUAUAUAUACAUAUAUGUAUAUACACACAGAGAAUUUAUUUAAUGUGAAUAGGAAAAUAAAUGCAGUCGUAACUAUUAAACCAAUCGUAUUUAGGUUCCAAGCUUUUAAACUGAGGUGAGGGCUCUUUAUUUUCAAGAAACCAAAGACAGAAGUAACUCAAGCCAAGGAGCUAUCAAAUGGCUCUUUUUCCUCAGGAGUCCCAUGCUGUCUUGCAGGGGCCAAAUGUUCUCUGUGGUAUUUAGCAGUAAUUGCAGCAUAGGCACAACCAUAAACAGCAGCUGCCAACAUCAUUAGACACACAAUUCCACACACAACUCCAGUUAUUACUACAGUGGCAAUUGCAUGACGCAAACUAACAGGCCUCGGCUUUGGUUUGGGUUCACAACUUAGCCUGCUGUUUUCUCCAUGUUCGUUGUGAUGAGAGUGCUUCAGAGAACUCCUGUGCUCAAAGCUGUGGUGAUGAGUGGUGGCCAGAUGAGCAUAAGCUGUCAUAAGUGGACAUGCCCCAAACAGCUCAUAAGGAACUUUGAGGAGGUCCUUGCCCUUCCGAAUCCCUGGUGUUGCACAGAUGAUGCCAUCACUUAUUCCUCCUGAAAAGAAAAAUUAAGAAACCCCAACAGAUUAUAAUCUUAAUAUUUUGUGGUUUCUGAAUUCUCUUCAUGAGAGGUUUACAGAUACCCAAAUUACAUUUAUAGUCAGUGUUGACUUUAUACUUUUAAAGAUGUCUAGCUAUAUGUAGAAAAAGGGCAACAGGCUGGUGAAGGGCUAGUGAAUAUGCCCUAUAAGGAGUGACUGAAUGAACUGGGGCUGUUUAGUCUGGGGAAGAAGGGGCUGAGGGGGAGACCUUAUUGCUCUCUUCAAAUACCUGGAAGGUGGUUGCAGUGAGAGUGGGGUUGGUCUCUUCUCGCUGGUGACAGGUGACAGUAUGAGAGGAAAUGGCCUCAAGUUGUGCCAGGCUAAGUUUGUUGGCUAUCAGGGAAAACUUCUUUACAAAAACAGUUGUUAAGCACUGGAGUAGGGAGUUGGUUGAGUCACCAUCCCUGAAUGUGUUUAAAAACUGUCUGGAUGUGGUGCACAGGGACAUGAUUUAGCAGUGGGUUGUUAGAGUUAGGGUAGUAUGGUUAGGUUGUGGUUGGACUUGAUGAUCUUGAAGGUCUUUUCCAACCUGAGCUAUUCUAUGAUUCUUUCUUUUUCCAGUUAGAUCAAAGGCAGCAAUAUUGCACUUUAACAAUUGUAGAAGAAAUUAUUUGCAAGUAAUAACUUUCAUCGGGAAUUGUUACAAAUGUAAAAGUAAAGAACAGUGGUCAAAUAAAUGUAAGCAAGAAAUGUCAUAGAUAAAAAUAAAAGAUACUGCUAACAUGAAAUUCAUUGCAUUCAAAUUUGUAUCAUUACUUCUUUUUCUAAAGAAAAAAAUAAUAUAUUAGUAAAUAUAUCUCACUUGAUCGAAAUAAUCUGUGAAGUAAUCAUUCUUCUGACAUCAUGCAUUAAUUCUAAUGAAGUAAAAAGAAAGUGUAAUAAGUUGAGUACAUGAACAAUGUUUUUGAGGUUCGUGGUAAGAAAAUAUUCAGAGUUCCAAAGAAGUUAAGAUUAAUCAAUCUAUUACUUGUUCAAGUGGUAAACUUCAUAAUUGCUCGUGGCCAGCUUCUGUAGCCUCUCAAAGUAUGUUUUUAGUAUAAACGGGAAAUGAAGUAGGAAGCCUCAGUCCUGGUAAAUCACACCGUUGUUCCUAAGCAUGUAGAACAACACACGCAGGGUGUUGCUUUCAGGGUUCUAAUUAGACCAUACAUCAGAGCCUUAGGAGUAUGGUGUGCUAAGUCAACAAGGCCAAAACCAAUGUUUACAUAUUUAGAAAGUUUAACUUAAUCAAGUUAGUUGAAUUUUCUCCCUCUUCUCUACCUGAAAUAAUCCACCUUUUAGUUAAAUAGAGGUGCAGAAAUUUUUAUCCUUAAAAGAUUGUAUUUGAGAAAGUAGUGAAUAAAAAUGGACUCAGAUGAAAAUCCGUAGUCUACUUCACAAAAGUUUAGGCUUUUGUAUGUUACGAAAGAUUACUUCUGGAAGUGGCUUUACCUCCCCAAGAAAACUGCUCCUGCAUCCCUGUGUUGACAGUAUAGUUUCCCAACUGGCCUAUAGACUUCUGAUGCUUGGAGAUAGCAGUACAUCACAGGCAACACGGACCAUCUGCUCACGUUCCAUGUCACCUUCAUGUACAGAUUGUUAAUCACAUUCAAGCAACAAAGCUUGAUUUAGAGAAAAGUAAAUUGCACUGCAGUUUUGAGUUCUCAGAGUCUGAACAUACCUCACAGGAAAAAGAAAUUUGCUUUAAUGCUUAAAGUCUUUCCUGUAUUCAUUGUAGAUAAAAUGGAUGUGAAUAACAAUGCUUUGGGAUGAUGAAAGCUUGUUUUCUUUUUCUUAAUCACCUUAAAUUAUAAAGUUUCUCUGAGCUCUGGAAGCAAAACAAAUUCUUAAAUAAAUAAAAUUAGAAUUAUUAGCUCAUCUUCUUUUUUAUAAAGCAUAACUCUUGAAUAUAUUUAAAAGUAAGCAUGAACAAAAUAUGAAGCUACUUUUACUUAAUUCCUCAGGUGGUGGUAUUGCAUAUAUCAGUCAGGAUAUUGCUAGUAAAUUUAGUACUACAACAAGUAUUCUUAUAAGGAAAUUAAAGAGAAUUUGUUCUUAUAAAGUAAUUUAAAGAGAAAUUAGAAUCCUGAGUUCUCUAAAUUGGUACUGAUACCUGUGUUGAUGCUUAGUCUCAUGCAUCAGGUAAAAAGCUCCUGCAUGUUAGGUUGGUUUCUAGCAAAAGCAUUUUGGUAGUAUUAAAGCAAGUAUAUGAGCUCAAGUAUACUUAUUAUAUAUGUAGAUAUAGAUAUAGAUGUAUAUACAUACAUUCAUUACAGACAUGUAUUUCUAGAAUGUAUCUAUGCACACUGUGUAGUCUCUCUCUCUCAGUGUAAAUGAUCCUCUAUGAUUCUGUAAUUAUGAACGCACCUAUAUUCCAGGCUAUGCGUAGGAAUGUAUCUUAGUAUGCUUAUUUGAUAUCAUGAUGCAAGGUGUGAGGUAAAUUGUCACGCUAUAGUAGUGAAGAUCAGUUAGCUGCAUUUGGAAGGUUGUGUUCUCAUGUACAUCGUAUGUAAUGAGAAGAAUUCCUCACCUCUGUAUAAAAAACUCUCCAGCCACAGUUUCAGGCCAAAGACAUUGCAAUUACAUAGCCAGGGAUUAUCCUUGAAAAGAACAACUUUCAGGUUUGGAAGUGACUCCAGCAGAACUCUUUCCAUUUUCUGAAGCUUGUUAUGCUUCACUGACAGUAAUGUUAUAUUCCCUGUGCCGUUUCCAAAAGUCGCAGGCAAACGUACAAUGCUGUUGGAUGACAAGUCCAGUUCUUUGAGAUGUGGGAGGAAACUGAAAGUCUUGUUUUCUAUAUAGUGAAUCAAAUUUCUAGUCAGAUUUAGAACCUGUAGGUACCGUAAUUUUUGGAAAGCACCUGGUGCAAAACUUGACAGAGAAUUAUUAGACAAGUCUAAGAUUUUCAGCAGUGGUGUUCCAGUGAAUGCGUUUUGGUUGAUUCUCCAAAUACGGUUAUUCUGCAACUGCAGUAUCUGAGUUUCAGGUGGUAAGUGAGCAGGAAUUUCAGUAAAACCUCUAUUCUUGCAGUCUGUAGUCUUUGAAGCCAUGUGGCAUAGGCAUUUUUGAGGACACCCGUGAACCAUGUGUAUUGUGAAGACAAUGCUCAGCACCAGAAGCCAGUUACCUGUACCGCAAAUGAAAGAAGCAAUAAUGCUUUGAAAUUAUUAUAAAAUAUUUGUCUUUUGACAAUACAGAAGUCAAUAAUAAAAUAAAGGCAUAUACAGCACCUUCAUAAGCCAUGAUGUAGAUAGCAAAAAUAUAGUUCAUAAUUUUUACAGUGCAUUAGUAAAUCACAGAUAUUAUUGAAAUACUUUUAUAAAUUUGAGUGAAAUAAGUGCUCCAAGAGUCUUAAAGUGAAGUACUGCUCAUGGCUUUAUUUUAAGUAUAAAUCAUUUUCAGGAGGUUUUGCUAUCAGCAAAGAUAUAACUAAAGGGAAUUGUGUGAAGUUUCUAAAAUUACUAAAUUGCAAUGUCCCUCUAUAUGCAGUAGUAAUAACUUUCAGCUCUCUUAUGUGAGAAAAGUCAUUUUUAUUUUUUGUUUUUAAAGUUUUACUACCUGAAAAGAAUUAAGUUAAUGUACUAUCAAAAGAGUAACAAGCUUUAAAGGCAUUUCCAUAAAAACAGUUAACAGUACUUUUUCUGCAACCUUUAAAUUUGUUCUUUAAAAUAUCUAUGUUUACAUUUAUUGCUUGGAUUCCAGCUGUACUUCUCAUAGAUACACGUUUCUACUCACUCAGCAAACAUUUGUCAAGAAACAAUUAUGAAGAUAAAUGAGGUCACAGGAGUACUUAACACUAUUUAGUAUUUAUCAUUUAUAAUUAUCAUCUGCUCCCUGAUGUUCAGGUCAGCCUUAACUGAAAAAAAAUAUAUAACAUUUUUAUCUUUCAUAUAUUGCUAGUGAUCUUCCUUUGUGUAGGAACAUGCAAUUUUAUGCAAAGCAUGAAAUUAAGAUAAAUAAUCGAAUGAUGUUAAGUGAUGCGAGUUUCUCUGAAUAAAGAGAAUCAGUGGUAAAUUCUUUUUUCACAUUGAUUUUGAGACACUUCAAACCAUUUUUACUAUUUACUAUUUGAGAAUGAAAAAUAUUUUAGUCAGUAUUUGAAACCUUUGGAAAUUAAAGGACGUGUUGGUUAUUGGCUUACAAAGACCAAAUAUUAAUUAGUAACAGGGAAUACCAUAUUGAAGGAACAAAUAUGUAAUUAAAACAUUGAAUAUGAAAAACAUAUACACAAAAUAUGAAUGAAUGUUUUACUUUGAGGCUACAGUUUAACUGAUAAAUUCCUCAUUAAUUUUCCCUGUAAAAUGAAAUUGUUUUCUUCUUAAAAUUAUAAAUAAUCCCCUGCCAUCCCUGAAUUCUAUAUUGUAAAGUUCAUUACAAAAAGACAAAACAAAACAAAAAAACAAGAAAGCAUCCCUGUAAAUAAGUUAAGCAAUGCAUUCAGUUCAUUACAUUGUUCUGCAACAGUUGGUUUCAGAAACUGGCAUACAGCUUCCAGUGUGGAAUUAAAAAUAAACAUGAGUCAAGGAAAUGCCUACAGAACAGAAUAGCUUCAUUAUUAGUCGGAAUGCAUCAGUAUCUCACCUGUCAUUCUGCUUUGCUUGUUUCCCACCUUGAAGAAGACUCAGUCCAGUUUCCUGAGGUAAAACAGUAAACGUAGACUUUAUUCUGGUUCCUCCUUCAAAUCUGUAACAUGCUCACCCAAUUUCUUCUGUUUGUUUUGUUGUUCUGGUGUUGUUUGUUGGUUUUGGUUUUUUGUUUUUUUUAAGAUUGUAUCUGUGGCUUGAGUAGAAGUGCUACAAUUUCUGGUGAGUUAAUCCAUCAGCCUUCGUUUUUUUGUGGUUUUUUUUUUUUUCUAUAUCACAGUCUUUUUUUCCCUCAAUGUCCAUUUCUGACUCUCAGAGUCUUACCCUGCCUCUUUUAAUCUGUCAGCAGGCCAUGCAAAGAGUGUCUGUCAACUCUAACCGGAUAGCUGUAACAUACAAAUCAUGACCUGAUAGCCCGUCUUUUAGAUUAUUUAAUCUGCCUCAGAUGGAAGGCACGAGAAUAAAGCUGCCUUUUAAAAUCCAGUAUAGUUUCUGAAUUGUGGUAGAUUAUUAGCUAUGCUGUGUCAAUUUUUGCAAGAUCAGAUGACUCUGAACAAGGAUUCUGAUUAUCCUGAGCUGUGACUGGAGGCAGUGGAGUGUGUAAUAUUGCCACAAAUAGUCAUGUGGGUUGAUGACAUGGUUUUGACAGUGCACUUGUUUGUUCUUCUAAGCUUAUUCAUCUGACAUCCAUUAGUUGUGCUGACAGGAUUUUCUUGCAUGGGAACACAGAACUGGUGUCUCAUUCCAUAAAAAUGGCAAUGGACACCAAGAAUACUGAAGAAAUUUAUUUCCAAACAUUAUUUGAAAGAAAGGACUGUGUUCUUACAACACUUUGAUUUGCCUCCUUGAUACUACUACUCAUUCAUACUGCACCAGCUACAACAACAACAACAAAAGGAUUAAUGACUUGAGACUAUGAAAUAACUCAAAGGUGUUUCAAGGAAUUGGUGAUCAGGUAUAACAGAGUCUUUCAUGAUCAUAUGAUGACUCCAUUAGCUUUCUUGUUAGGAGGGAAGCUGUGCAAUCAAAAGCUUUCAGGAUGGUUCUGACAUGUAGCAUAGCUAACUUUGGUCCAAAUUCUUCUUUUAUGUGAUUUUGAGAAAGUCAAACAAAACUCAUUUUCUACUAAUUUGUAUGCUACAUCCAAUAUGAUAGAAGGAAUUGUAUAGAAGUGGAAGUUGAGAAGGACAUCUAGAAAACAUCUGGUCAAAACUGCAGUUGAAAGCAAGGCCUUACAUGAGAUUACCCAGAACCUUGUCAAGCUGAGACUUACGUGUUUCUAGGAAAGGACUUCCAAAGCAGCUCUUGUGUCUGCUACUUUCCAGCAGCUUUAGUCCUGUCUCUAACUUCCAAAUCAGCCUUUUUGUUCCUAACCUUAUCCCUUACAUGCUUUUUUUUUUUUUUUUUUUUUUUCCC